GACGAACGCUGGCGGCGUGCUUAACACAUGCAAGUCGAACGGAAAGGCCCUGCUUUUGUGGGGUGCUCGCGUGGCGAACGGGUGAGUAACACGUGAGUAACCUGCCCUUGACUUUGUGAUAUCUUCAGGAAACUGGGGCUAAUACCGGAUAGGAGCUCCUGCUGCAUGUUGGGGGUUGGAAAGUUUCGGCGGUUGGGGAUGGACUCGCGGCUUAUCAGCUUGUUGGUGGGGUAGUGGCUUACCAAGGCUUUGACGGGUAGCCGGCCUGAGAGGGUGACCGGCCACAUUGGGACUGAGAUACGGCCCAGACGCCUACGGGAGGCAGAAGUGGGGAAUAUUGCACAAUGGGCGGAAGCCUGAUGCAGCAACGCCGCGUGCGGGAUGACGGCCUUCGGGUUGUAAACCGCUUUCGCCUGUGACGAAGCGUGAGUGACGGUAAUGGGUAAAGAAGCACCGGCUAACUACGUG
rnacentral:rRNA from 1 species